ACGGGUGAGUAAUGCCUAGGAAUCUGCCUGGUAGUGGGGGAUAACGCUCGGAAACGGACGCUAAUACCGCAUACGUCCUACGGGAGAAAGCAGGGGACCUUCGGGCCUUGCGCUAUCAGAUGAGCCUAGGUCGGAUUAGCUAGUUGGUGAGGUAAUGGCUCACCAAGGCGACGAUCCGUAACUGGUCUGAGAGGAUGAUCAGUCACACUGGAACUGAGACACGGUCCAGACUCCUACGGGAGGCAGCAGUGGGGAAUAUUGGACAAUGGGCGAAAGCCUGAUCCAGCCAUGCCGCGUGUGUGAAGAAGGUCUUCGGAUUGUAAAGCACUUUAAGUUGGGAGGAAGGGCAUUAACCUAAUACGUUAGUGUUUUGACGUUACCGACAGAAUAAGCACCGGCUAACUCUGUGCCAGCAGCCGCGGUAAUACAGAGGGUGCAAGCGUUAAUCGGAAUUACUGGGCGUAAAGCGCGCGUAGGUGGUUUGUUAAGUUGGAUGUGAAAUCCCCGGGCUCAACCUGGGAACUGCAUUCAAAACUGACAAGCUAGAGUAUGGUAGAGGGUGGUGGAAUUUCCUGUGUAGC
rnacentral:rRNA from 2 species